GCUGGUGGUUCAGUGGUUAGGAUUAGGUGCUCUCACUACUACAGCUCUGGGUUCGAUUCCCGGUCACA